GGGGACAAGGAUGGUGGCCCUGAGAAUGGGAUGGUGUUGCUGGGAAUGGAGAUGGUGUUGCUGGAGAGCUCCAGUGCCGUGUUCUGCAGGUGGGUCAGGUCCUUGGUGGCCCUGGAGCAGAAGUGUUGUUUGGAAAGCAAACAAAGGCUGGAGAAAGGGCUGCUCCCUGGCCAUGGUGAGAGCUGCUCCAGGUCAGCUCCCUCCUCCCCAAGGAUAGGUCAUGGGAAACGUGGCCUGGCCCCAGCCCAAACACAUGAAGAGCUCUGGGAACCCUUGGCCUUCUGCUGGGACCAGCUUUGAGUUGAUGGUGAAGCUGAGGACCUGACGUGAGCAGGAGAAGCUGGACCAAGGAGCUGCUGAACUUCUGGUGACCUGCUGAGAGAAGAGUGCUGCUCCUUCCACUUCCACACUGGGUCAGGAUGCUCUUGAGACAAGGGGAUUCCCCCUCCACGGUGGUGCUUAGGUUGGAUGAGACCUGGAGCAGCCUAAUCUAGACGAAGCUCACAGAAUCACUCAAAGACAAGCUGGAAAAGACUUCUAAGAUCAUCACAUCCAACCUUCGACCCAUCAAGUCCAACCUCCUACCCAACAGCUCCGUGGCCACUAGACCAUGUCCCAGAGUGCCACACCUACUUGUUUUGUGAAUACCUGGUGUCCCUGCUAAUGGAGAGGGAAU